GUUUUAUCUUAUGUUCAUAUGUAGGUUUUCCACCUCCCAGAUCCAAAAAAAAAAAAUUAUAUAUGCAUGUAAAGGCUUGCCUGGAGUUGUGGGAGGGGCGUGGUGAUCCUAUUUAAACUCACGCCCCUUUUUCUGCAUCACCGUGUAGUUUUGAUUUCGGCAGGCAUCACUUCCGAUUUUCGGACUGCCGGGUUACGAUCACUUCCGGUUCGCGGUCUGUGCGUUCAGAUCGGCUAACGGCUGCUGUUUUCCCACACGCUCGUGGGGCACUAAAAUCGUGAGUCUUGCAUAUUCCGGUUCUCUUACCAUCUGCCACAUGCCGGAUGGUCCAUAGGGGUGGGGGGGCUGGCAGUAAAUCGCACGGACACAGCAGCCAGAGAC